rnacentral:tRNA from 1 species
GCUUCCGUGGCUUAGUGGCUAUAGCAGCUGACUUGUAAUCAGCAGGUCGAGGGUUCAAAUCCCUCCGGGAGCUCCA